UACAGAGGUCCCGAGCGUUGUUCGGAUUCAUUGGGCGUAAAGGGUGCGUAGGCGGUCUUCUAAGUUUGAUGUGAAAUCCCGGGGCUCAACCCUGGAAUGGCAUUGAAUACUGGAGGACUAGAGUACCGGAGAGGAAACUGGAAUUUACGGUGUAGCAGUGAAAUGCGUAGAGAUCCGGAAGAACACCGGUGGCGAAGGCGGUCUGCUGGGCAGUUGCUGGACACUGAGGCGCGACAGCGUGGGGAGCAAACAGG
rnacentral:rRNA from 1 species